rnacentral:rRNA from 1 species
GAUGAACGCUGGCGGCGUGCCUAAUACAUGCAAGUCGAGCGAACGGACGAGAAGCUUGCUUCUCUGCUGUUAGCGGCGGACGGGUGAGUAACACGUGGAUAACCUACCUAUAAGACUGGGAUAACUUCGGGAAACCGGAGCUAAUACCGGCUAAUAUUUUGAACCGCAUGGUUCAAAAGUGAAAGACGGUCUUGCUGUCACUUAUAGAUGGAUCCGCGCUGCAUUAGCUAGUUGGUAAGGUAACGGCUUACCAAGGCAACGAUGCAUAGCCGACCUGAGAGGGUGAUCGGCCACACUGGGACUGAGACACGGUCCAGACUCCUACGGGAGGCAGCAGUAGGGAAUCUUCCGCAAUGGGCGAAAGCCUGACCGAGCAACGCCGCGUGAGUGAUGAAGGUCUUCGGAUCGUAAAACUCUGUUAUUAGGGAAGAACAGAUGUGUAAGUAACUGUGCACAUCUUGACGGUACCUAAUCAGAAAGCCACGGCUAACUACGUG